CGCGUGCGCGGCUCUCGCGGGCGGGGAGCAGGCGGGGGAGCGGGCGGGAAGCGGUGGGAGCGCGCGUGCGCGCGGCCGGGCAGCCUGGGCAGUGGGUCCUGCCUGUGACGGGCGGCGGCGGUCGGUCCUGCCUGUAACGGCAGCGGCGGCGGCUGCUCCAGACACCUGCGGCGGCGGCGGCGACCCCGCGGCGGGCGCAGAGAUGUGGCCCCUGGUAGCGGCGCUGUUGCUGGGCUCGGCGUGCUGCGGAUCAGCUCAGCUACUAUUUAAUAAAACAAAAUCUGUAGAAUUCACGUUCUGUAAUGACACUGUCGUCAUUCCAUGCUUUGUUACUAAUAUGGAGGCACAAAACACUACCGAAGUAUAUGUAAAGUGGAAAUUUAAAGGAAGAGAUAUUUACACGUUUGAUGGACCUCUAAACAAGUCCACUGCCCCCGCUAACUUUAGUAGUGCAAAAAUUGAAGUCUCACAAUUACUAAAAGGAGAUGCCUCUUUGAAGCUGGAUAAGAGUGAUGCUGUCUCACACACAGGAAACUACACUUGUGAAGUAACAGAAUUAACCAGAGAAGGUGAAACGAUCAUUGAGCUAAAAUAUCGUGUUGUUUCAUGGUUUUCUCCAAAUGAAAAUAUUCUCAUUGUUAUUUUCCCAAUUUUUGCUAUACUCCUGUUUUGGGGACAGUUUGGUAUUAAAACACUUAAAUAUAGAUCCGGUGGUAUGGAUGAGAAAACGAUUGCUUUACUUGUUGCUGGACUGAUGAUCACUGUCAUUGUCAUUGUUGGAGCCAUUCUUUUCGUCCCAGGUGAAUAUUCAUUAAAGAAUGCUACUGGCCUUGGUUUAAUUGUGACUUCUACAGGGAUAUUAAUAUUACUUCACUACUAUGUGUUUAGUACAGCGAUUGGAUUAACCUCCUUCGUCAUUGCCAUAUUGGUUAUUCAGGUGAUAGCCUAUAUCCUCGCUGUGGUUGGACUGAGUCUCUGUAUUGCGGCGUGUAUACCAAUGCAUGGCCCUCUUCUGAUUUCAGGUUUGAGUAUCUUAGCUCUAGCACAAUUACUUGGACUAGUUUAUAUGAAAUUUGUGGACAUAGACACCCCUAGACAGGAAUGAAGAUUCACAAUCUAUCAGUUUUGUUCAUUUAAAGAACAGUGACCUCUAAUGCAUGACUUUAAAACAGUUCUAGUUAAAACCAAAUUAUGAAAACAUUGAGUUUCAAAAUUUAGACUUACUCCUUUUAAAAUCAAUUAUUAAAUUAUUAAUAAGUAUGGAAUUUACUUCAUUGUUUCUAACUUUUAUAUUUAAUCUGCCAAUUUUCAAGUAAUGUUUCUACAUAAAUUCUUGUUUUUAUUGAGAUAUGUGCACACAGAGAGAUAUUUUUAAUUGUGCCUGAAACUAAUGUUAUCUUACCUAAGCUCAAGAUGUUCCCGAUAAUGUCAUUUAUAUCAGUUUCCCUUUUUAAAAAAAUUAUGUUUUUUAUGAAAUAAAACAUACUCUUAAUAAUCCAAAGUUAUAAAUUAAUGGAGUAAAAAAAUAGUGUUUCUGCUUUGCUGGAGGUAAACUUUGCUGUAUAUGUUUCUAAAAACUAAUACAAAACUUGAAUUGUUAUAGUCAAAUAAUUUCCCAUAUGACUCACAUAAUAGUUUCGAAAAAAUUUUACCUUUAUUUCUGAACUUUUGAUUCUUGGUAAUUGAAUUCAAUUCUGUCAUAUAUUCUGUGUCUUUCUUUAAUUAAUGCUUAUUAGAUAAAUAAAAUACUUAACCAAAAUCUACCUAUCUUUAGCAUAUGAGUUCAUAAGUCUUAGUUGUUGCUCAAUGAAAUUUUCUAAUUUUAUACCACAUAAUGCCAUAAAAUACAAUGGAGACAUCUAAAGCAGAAUGGAAUCCAUGUGGUAGCUACAGUGAACAUCUUGAAUGUUGGUGCAUAUUCUAUUUUUGCUACAUCUUCCGAUCACCAUGUGUCUGGUUCUGGAAGAUGACACUCCUGGUUUUGUUGCUCCCCACGAAUGCCUGAGAAUAGUGUGUGAUUUGCAGUAUCCAUACAACUCUGGUGAAUUAGUAUUAGAUACCUUUGGCUGAUGGGCAGCACGCUCUUAUUUUUUCCUCACUAUCUGGGUUGUCCUCCCUUUUACUCUCAUGCCACCCCAUACCUUCCAUAUCUAGCAUAGAAUGAUCUUCAGUACAGUUGCUAGCAGGUCUGGUGACAAUGCCUCAAGUGGAACUAAGCAUUGUCUAUCUGCCACCUCCUUAACCUCACUCUCCUGCCUUCUCCAUGACUUACAUUCCUCCAAGCCUGUGAAACCACUCUACUGUACCUGUCACUGUUCUGACAUUAAAAUUAAAAUGACUGAAAUCCUGACAAGUACCCCAAAUUAUUUUUUCUUUGUCAUAGGUUAGCAUAUAAGUAUACUAUAUGCUAAAAUUUAUGCUAUAUGUUUAAAAUUUAGUGCAAUUUUAUUGAUAGUGUCCUAAUUUUAUUGAUAGUAUCCUAAGUUAACUUUUUAAAUCAACUUGUCUGAUGCCAGAGUUCAGAGGGACACCUACGGUCAGUUGAAAGGCAAGAAGAGACAAGCUUCCAAUCAGAAGACUAUACAACCUCCUAGGAAAGCUGUAGAGGAACCCCUUAAUGCAUUCAAAGAAUCAAAAGGAAUGAUGAAUGAUGAAUAACUGAAGUGAAGUGAUGGACUCCGAUUUGGAGAGUAGUAAGACGUGAAAGGAAUACACUUGUGUUUAAGCACCAUGGCCUUGAUGAUUCACUGUUGGGGAGAAGAAACAAGAAAAGUAACUGGUUGUCACCUAUGAGACCCUUACGUGAUUGUUAGUUAAGUUUUUAUUCAAAGCAGCUGUAAUUUAGUUAAUAAAAUAAUUAUGAUCUUUGUUGUUUGCCCAAUUGAGAUCCAGUUUUUUGUUGUUAUUUUUCAUCAAUUAGGGGCAAAAGUAAAAUGGACAAUUUCCAAGAAUGAUGCCUUUCAGAUCCUAGGGCCUCUGGUCUCUAGGUAACCAGUUUAAAUUGGUUCAGGGUGAUAACUACUUAGCACUGCCCUGGUGGUUACCCAGAGAUAGCUAUGAAAACCAGUGGCUUCCAUCAAACCUUUGCCAACUCAGGUUCACAGCAGCUUUGGGCAGUUAUGGCAGUAUGGCAUUAGCCAAGAUGUGUCCGCCACUUCUGGGUCAAGGGAAUAAUAAAUUAAGUACAGGCAGGAAUUUGGUUGGGAGCAUCUUGUAUGCCAUCUCUGUAUGAUGUGAUAUUGAUGGAGAUAGUGGUCCUCAUUCUUGGGGGUUGCCAUUCCCACAUUUCCCCUUCAACAAACAGUGUAACAGGUCCUUCCCAGAUUUAGGGUACUUUUGUUGGUGGAUAUGUUUUCCUUUUAUUCACAUAACCCCUUGAAACUCUGUCUUGUCCUCCUGUUACUUGCUUCUGCUGUACAAGAUGUAGCACCUUUUCUCCUCUUUGAACAUGGUCUAGUGACACGGUAGCACCAGUUGCAGGAAGGAGCCAGACGUGUUCUCAGAGCACUUUGUUCACACUUUUCAGCAAAAAUAGCUAUGGUUGUAACAUAUGUAUUCCCUUCCUCUGAUUUGAAGGCAAAAAUCUACAGUGUUUCUUCACUUCUUUUCUGAUCUGGGGCAUGAAAAAGCAAGAUUGAAAUUUGAACUAUGAGUCUCCUGCAUGGCAACAAAAUGUGUGUCACCAUCAGGCCAAUGGGCCAGCCCUUGAAUGGGGGUUUAUUACUGUUGUAUCUAUGUUGCAUGAUAAACAUUCAUCACCUUCCUCCUGUAGUCCUGCCUCGUACUCCCCUUCCCCUAUGAUUGAAAAGUAAACAAAACCCACAUUUCCUAUCCUGGUUAGAAGAAAAUUAACGUUCUGACAGUUGUGACCGCCUGGAGUACUUUUAGACUUUUAGCACUCGUUUUUUUUUACCUGUUUGUGGGUGUGUGUUUGUAUGUGCAUAUGUAUGAGAAGGGCACAUGCAUCUUCUGUAUGGACAAAGGUGGGGUACCUACAGGAGAGCAAAGGGUAAUUUUGUGCUUUUAGUAAAAACAUUUAAAUACAAAGUUCUUUAUUGGGUGGAAUUAUAUUUGAUGCAAAUAUUUGAUCACUUAAAACUUUUAAAACUUUUAGGUAAUUCGCCACGCUUUUUGACUGCUCACCAAUACCCUGUAAAAAUACGUAAUUCUUCCUGUUUGUGUAAUGAGAUAUUCAUAUUUGUAGUUGCAUUAAUAAUAGUUAUUUCUUAGUCCAUCAGAUGUUCCCGUGUGCCUCUUUUAUGCCAAAUUAAUUGUCAUAUUUCAUGUUGGGACCAAGUAGUUUGCCGAUGGCAAACCUAAAUUUAUGACCUGCUGAAGCCUCUCGGAAAACUGAACAUACUAGCAAGACAGCUCUUCUUGAAAAAAAAAAAUGUAUACACAAAUAUAUACGUAUAUCUAUAUAUACGUAUAUCUAUACACACAUGUAUAUUAUUCCCUGAUUGUGUAGCUGUCCAAAUUAAUAACAUAUAUAGAGGGAGCUGUAUUCCUUUAUACAAAUCCGAUGGCUCCUGCAGCACUUUUUCCUUCUGAAAAUAUUUACACUUUGCUAACAUAGUUUGUUACUUUAAAAAUCAGUUUUGAUGAAACGAGGGAAAAGCAGAUGGACUUGAAAAACAUCCAAACUCCUAUUAGGAAAUGUAUGAAAAUCUUUAUAGUAAAAUUUUUUAUAAACUAAAGUUGUACCUUUUAUUAUGUAGUAAACUCUCAUUUAUUUGGGGUUCACUCUUGGAUCUCAUCCAUCCAUUGUGUUCUCUUUAAUGCUGCCUGCCUUUGGAGGCAUUCACUGCCCUAGACAAUGCCACCAGAGGUAGUGGGGGAAAUGCCAGAUGAAACCAACUCUUGCUCUAACUAGUUGUCAGCUUCUCUGGAUAAGGGACCACAGCAGCAGGAGUCUUCCUGCUUGGGCAUCAUUGGGCCAGUUCCUUCUCUUUAAAUCAGAUUUGUAAUGGCUCCCAAAUUCCAUCGCAUCACAUUUAAGUUGCAGACAAUGUUUUGCACAUUAUGUAUCUGUUUUGUCCCAUACUAUGCUUUUUACUCCCUGAUCCCAGUUUCUGCUGUCGACUCUUCCAUUCAGUUUUAUUUGUUGUCUGUUCUCACAGUGACACCAUUUGUCCUUUUCUGCAACAACCUUUCCAGCUGCUUUUGCCAAAUUCUAUUUGUCUUCUCCUUCAAAACAUUCUCCUCCAGCCCUGCUGCCCCUUCCCCCAGCUCUCCUUCGCAAUCUCUCUCCAUCUGUGUGGCUGCUCUUUUAUCUCUGAACUUACCAUUCCUACAGUACUUUAUGCAUCGUUGCUUAGUUCUAUUAGUUUUUCGGUCUUGCUCCUCUCCCUUGAUUUUAAAAUUCCUUCUAUAGCUAGAGCUUUUCUUUCUUCCAUUCUCUCUUCCUGCAGUGUUUUGCAUACAUCAGAAGCUAGGUACAUAAGUUAAAUGAUUGAGAGUUGGCUGUAUUUAGAUUUAUCACUUUUUAAUAGGAUGAGCUCGAGAGUUUUCUUGUCUUUUUUUUUUUUUUUUUUUUUUGACAAAUUUCACAUGCUCUAAAAACCUUCAAAGGUGAUUAUUUUUCUCCUGGAAACUCCAGGUCCGUUCUGUUUAAAUCCCUAAGAAUGUCAGAAUUAAAAUAACGGUCUUUCCCGUAAUUGAAAAUACUUGUUUUUUCCGGAUGCUAUAGUCAAUUUAGUAAGUGACCACCAAAUUGUUAUUUGCACUAACAAAGCUCAAAACACGAUAAGUUUACUCCUCCAUCUCAAUAAUAAAAAUUAAGCUGUAAUCAACCUUCUAGGUUUCUCUUGUCUUAAAAUGGUAUUCAAAAAGGGGGAUCUGUGGUGUGUGUGUGGAAACACAUACUCCUUAAUUUACCUGUUGUUGGAAGCUGGAGAAAUGAUUGUCGGGCAACCGUUUAUCUUUUAUUGUAUUUUAUUUGGUUGAGGGAUUUUUUUAUAAACAGUUUUACUUGUGUCAUAUUUUAAAAUUACUAACUGCCAUCACCUGCUGGGGGUCCUUUGUUAAGUCAUUUUCAGUGACUAAUAGGGAUAAUCCAGGUGACUUUGAAGAGAUGAGCAGUGAGUGACCAGGAAGUUUUUCUGCCUUUAACUUUGACAGUUCUUAAUUAUGAUCAUUGAAAACCAGCUUUCUCAUAAAUUUCUCUUUUUGAAAAAAAGAAAGCAUUUGUACUAAGCUCCUCUGUAAGACAACAUCUUAAAUCUUAAAAGUGUUGUUACCAUGGCUGGUGAGAGAAGAAAGCAUUUUGUUUUUAUUAAAUGGAGCAUUAUUUACAAAAAGCCAUUGUUGACAAUUAGAUCCCACAUCGUAUAAAUAUCUAUUAACCAUUCUAAAUAAAGAGAACUCCAGUGUUGCUAUGUGCAAGAUCCUCUCUAGAGAGCUUUUUUGCAUAGCAAUUAAAGGUGUGCUAUUUGUCAGUAGCCAUUUUUUUGCAGUGAUUUGAAGACCAAAGUUGUUUAACAGCUGUGUUACCGUUAAAGAUUUUUUUUUUUAUAUGUAUGAAAUCAAUUUAUCACUGUUUGAAGCUUUGAAUAUCUGCAAUCUUUGCCAAGGUACUUUUUUAUUUAAAAAAAAAAACAUAACUUUGUAAAUAUUACCCUGUAAUAUUAUAUAUACUUAAUAAAACAUUUUAAGCUA